GAAUCCCUAAUACAGAGAGCGAGGGAGCGUAAUACAGAGGGAAUCCCUAAUACAGAGAGCGAGGGAGCGUUAUACAGAGGGAAUCCCUAAUACAGAGAGCGAGGGAGCGUAAUACAGAGGGAAUCCCUAAUACAGAGAGCGAGGGAGCGUAAUACAGAGGGAAUCCCUAAUACAGAGAGCGAGGGAGCGUAAUACAGAGGGAAUCCCUAAUACAGAGAGCGAGGGAGCGUUAUACAGGGGGAAUCCCUAAUACAGAGAGCGAGGGAGCGUUAUACAGGGGGAAU